CAAAUCACAGCCGAUUUGCCAAUUCUCUUUCUCUCAAAAGGGGGGGGGGUGUUUUUUGUUUUUGUUUUGUUGUUGUUUAUUGUUCUUGGUUUUGUUUUAUCCCUGUCAGUAAUGAUAGCCUCAUGUGCUUCCACAGUGGAGUGCCCAGGGCUCACAGGUAUUCUGACAUCUGUUCCCUGAGAGGUGACAUGGGAAGUCCUGCACUGUGAGUCCAUUGAGUAGGACACACCCAGGCCUCUUCUUUUCUCCAGGAUAUGUGCAAGAUGAGAGCCAGCCAUCGUCUCCUGAUGGUGGAGAUUUGAUCUGAAGCAUUCAAAUAGGAAAUGAAUGCUCAGAGGAAGCUUCAAAUUUCUUUCUACUUGAAGAAGCUGAAUUGCAGAAGCUAUCUCUGUCCUGUUAAUCACCAGGUCCACAGUGAAACCAGCCAACUUCAGAGAAGACUCUUGUGCUGCGUGACCCCUGACCGUAACCAAGUGUCCUUCUCUCUGAGACGUUCCCUCGGAGCUUGUUCUGACAGCCCUCACCUCCAGUGACGUCCACGAACUUUUCCACACGAGGGGUUCUCUGCUUCCCUCCAUCUGAGCUGCGCAAUUCCACCAGGCCUUUUGCUCCUCUUCAGUCAGGUGCUUUGGAGGUAAUGAAGUCUUUCGGGAAAAAUAAACAAAGGAA
rnacentral:lncRNA from 1 species